AGGCCUGUAGUCCCCUGGAUCCCUCUUCUGUCCCUGCUUGUAGAUGGGUGUCACAUUUGCUUACCUCCACUCAACUGGGACCUCCUCUAUCAGGAUUCUUGAUAAUUGAUGGAAAAUAGCUCAGCGAGCUUUUGCACCAGCUACCUCAGUGCCCUUGGGUGGAUGCUAUGUGACCCUAUAGACUUGAAGAAGAGCAAAAUACCUGUUCUGUGAAAGAAAUAAUUAAUUGCAGCUCAAUAGGAUAUUAUUUUCAUGCAUUUUAGCUCAAAGCUGAAAGUAUCUCUUUGGGGAAGGAUGAUUUUGAGGCAAAACCCCGAUGUGGUACUAAAUUGCUUUUAAAAACUCAAAAUAGUUUCUCAAAAUGGCCUAAUAUAUUUUCUCACAUGACAAAAUGAAACAAAAUAAAUGGAGUUGCACUAGUAUA